AGGGUCUCAAUUGACGCAAAAGGCUGCAAUCCAUCUCCCCGUUUCACAUUUCACAUUUUUUCUUUGGGUUUGUUGGUUGGAACGGGUCUCGUCUCGUCUCAGCCCCACACACACACACCACUCAUUCACUCACUCACUUCUAUCAUCCCUCGCCGCACUCUCUCCUCUGUAACCGUAACUUCUGAAUCUGAACCGAUCUCGCUACGUGUCAUCGCCGCUGCAUCACUACGUGUUGCAUGCCUAACCACCAAGGCCACCACCACCUCCUCCAUCCUCACAAUGAAUGAAGAGAGAGAAUAGAGAGAGGGAAUACGGUUGGACUUUGGAGUCUGUGGUUCUUGUCUUUUCAUCUUUCCUUUCUCCUUCUUAAUCCCUGCUUUCUUCCUCCUUUUUUGUUCCUGUUUAUGCAGGAAACCCUAAUUUCUGAAAUCUUCUAAUAAUUGUCUCUUAAAAUAAGAAUACGCUGUGUGGAUCAUGGACAUUUUCGUUUUCUUCUAUUCUUAUCGGUUAAUGCUUCAGAUCUGUUUCGAUAAUGAAAGUAAUAGAACAGAUGUUAUGUAUAUUCUUUGUGUGAGGGUUUCCAAAUUUGGGCAUGUUUUGCAGCCUGGGCUCUUGAUUAUUUAUUUUCUCUUGGAACAUAGAAAUUGACAGAAGAGAGUGAGCACACAGAAGCACUCGUUAUAAUUCUAUACCGUUGCUCUUGCGUGCUCACUUCUCCUUCUGUCAGCUUCCAGUGCCGGAAAAAAUGAAAAUCACCGCUCGUGUGAUCUGCAUCUGCAUCUGGCUCUGCUUCGUUCCAAACCCCCAAACCCAAAAUCUAACCCUCUCUUUCUUUCUCUCUCGACAUUUUGGCGGAGCAAGCAGACCAGCGACCAUCACUGACUACUGCGCCAGGUUAUAUCAUUAUCAAACAGUGAAAAAAAGGAAGAAGCUUUUGUUUGUUUCUUUCUUUAGCCCUUGUUUUUAUUUUUAUCUCUUUACUGUGUCUUUCAAUUUUGUUAUUUUAAUCAUUGCUCGUGGUUCCAUUAGUAAUUUUUAUAAAUUAUCUUUGUUGUUAUCAAACGGAAAAGCGUGACUUUUGAUGCAAUAGCCCUAUUUGCUUGCCAGGAUCAACGAACCCCCAACAUUUUAAAAUUAAUAUUAAUAAAUAUAUUUAUACUAACAUUUCCCCUUUUAUCUUGUUUUUUAAUAACUUUGAUAUAUAGCAGUACAUAGCAUGGAGCCAUUUCACGUCACAUAGCAUGGUCCUCACCAAUUUUUUCUCCUUGCUUCAAUGGACAUCACAAUUAUGCUGAUUUCGUCCCUUUCCAUGUAUUUUUUUUGCUAGAUCUUGUGCAUGCCAGUGGUUCCUUUACUCGGUAACUGUUACUGUUUCUAACUUUCUUCUUGUUGGCUAUGUGUUUGUUCUUUCCUGCAACUCAACGUUAUGAUGCAUAGAUUCUGGUUUCAUUAUAUUCUUGGACAAUAAGAAUUUCAAAAGGGGUGUUUCUUUUCUGUUCUUAAUAUUUAUUGCUUUUUUUUGUUUUAGUUUAUCCUUUUCUUUUUUGAAAUAUUUUUGGUGGUUUAUGAUCUGAUAAACCCUAUCUACCUAACUCUACAGUUGCUUGUUUUGUGUCUGUGACUGACCAAAUUGUUUGACUAUAUGAGCAUCCUUUUAAUCAUCAAUUCAAGGAGCAAUAAAUAUGGUUUUGGAAGUUCAGUUUUUUUUUUCCCUCUCUGGUGUAUUGUGAUAUGAUGUAACAAUAAUAAUGCUGGCCGAGUAAACUUAUUGGGAUUUCUCUUGAUAUUGAUUGAUUUUUAUGCAUACAAAAGCUGCAGCCGGCCUGUACUUUUUCUUCUUUGAUGCAGAUGAUAAAUAUGGGCAAAGACUUGGAUUGUUCGUACACUUCUUCCUUGUAGAGAUAACGUGCUGUCCGACCCAUAAGCAUGUUAAAAUGUUGGAAAACAAGAAUCAUUAUACCAAUGUGAAAUCAAUGUCUUGGAUAAGGAAUCGAGCAUUAGCAAUCUCCAUAGGAUUCUUUUCACAUAUAUUAUUAUCAUCUUUCGGUGGAGACAAUAUAUGCACUCCCACCAGCAAAAAGACAGUAAAGAGAUUAAAUAGGGCUUUGUUGGAGAAAUGCACCUUCUGAAAUCAUUAUUCUGAAGCAUGAAUGGAGAUUAAAUUUAUAUUUCUAGCAAUGGAUACUAUUCAAUCUAUGAUAGCUGUUGAUCAGCCAACAGGUCCCUCCAAAAUUGCAUCCACUUAAUUUUUCUCCUUUUGAACCGACCUUUGAUGGAGACAAUAUAUACACUCCCACCAGCAAGAUGACGGUUUGAAAGCUAAUAUCGUAGAUGGUGGAACGGGUUGCCGUGUUGGAAAAGGGCUCCAAUUGAUAGGUACGAGAUUCCGGGGAAAUUUUUCUGGACGGGCAAUGGUUUCAACUGAAUCUUCUUUGAAGCUCCUAGUGAAUUCAUUUGUUAGCAGCAGCCAGGAAGAGGUUCAUCAGAAUGUACUUACUACUUAGUAGAGUAUACGAAACAAAGUUAUCACAAUAAGAACGCCACUAAGGCUGUGUUCUUUUAUAUCAGUCAGUAUGAUCGUUGCAAAUUCUCAAUUUGAAGAGGCAGCUCAUUACUCAAUAUCGUGUGAGUUCUCUAAUUGUCAAUGCCGUCAUUGACGAGAUUGAGACGGUUAAUACUUUAUAAGCUACUGCUGUCUUACAUUUUAGGGAAGUGUCAUAUUUAGUGACAAAUCCUGUUUCUGUUAUCCUUUUUAAGUUUUUAGUAACAUGUACACAUGGUAGAUCUCUUAAUUUCAAAUGCCUGUUAUUAAUUUUUUGUUAGAUUAGAUUCGUAGUCACAUUCUGUUGAGGAAUUUCAUUUAUACAUAGAAGAAUAUGGUUAGUUUGUGCCGGACCAUGAGUAAUGGUCCAAUAUUUUC